rnacentral:lncRNA from 1 species
CUUCCCAUCUCCUUCCUGGAAGACAGAAGCCUUGUGCGAGCCCCUUGUGUGAUGUCACCCCAGCUAGGGCCACCGGACGUUGGUCCUCAGCAGGGAGACUUUGGGUCCUCCACCAGGACCCAGGGCUGACCUGCAUGGCCAGGCCCCAUGGCCUGGGUAGAACCUUGUUUCUGCUCCAGGAAAAAACGAUCAACGAACCUUCAUUUAAGAAAAAGCACAGCGUUCUCAUGGGAACCAAGAAGACAAGCCCUUAAUGCAAAGUGUAUUCAGAGAGAAGAAAACAAGAAAAGCAGAGACGAUUGGAUUACAGCAAUUGCUCUUAUAACUCCUCUCCGCCCACCCCCUCGAUGAGAAGCUGGUUUGAAGGACUGAGUAUCAAAUCCCUACUGAGCUCUGAGGUUCCAGGUGUGGAUGGAGUGUGGGGCCCAUGUGUGUGUCAGUGUGUGUGGGUGUGAUUGUGUGAGCAACUGGGUGUGUGAGGUUCAGGCCCAGUCGGCUUGUCCAGACGCCAGGCCUGAGAUGCCCUGGGGGUGCUAAGAGGGGUAGAGAGAAGCCAAAGGAACACAGGCUUUG